GGGCCUCAAAUCAGACAAGAGUACCUGCUGAACUUAA
rnacentral:rRNA from 1 species